GGGUCGGUAGUUAAUAUAAUAUAAUAAAAGUCUUGUAAACUUUAGUAGAAGAUAGUCUCGGCCCUGACCCU
rnacentral:tRNA from 2 species